rnacentral:rRNA from 1 species
UGGGGAAUAUUGCACAAUGGGCGCAAGCCUGAUGCAGCCAUGCCGCGUGUAUGAAGAAGGCCUUCGGGUUGUAAAGUACUUUCAGCGGGGAGGAAGGGAGUAAAGUUAAUACCUUUGCUCAUUGACGUUACCCGCAGAAGAACCACCGGCUAACUCCGUGCCAGCAGCCGCGGUAAUACGGAGGGUGCAAGCGUUAAUCGGAAUUACUGGGCGUAAAGCGCACGCAGGCGGUUUGUUAAGUCAGAUGUGAAAUCCCCGGGCUCAACCUGGGAACUGCAUCUGAUACUGGCAAGCUUGAGUCUCGUAGAGGGGGGUAGAAUUCCAGGUGUAGCGGUGAAAUGCGUAGAGAUCUGGAGGAAUACCGGUGGCGAAGGCGGCCCCCUGGACGAAGACUGACGCUCAGGUGCGAAAGCGUGGGGAGCAAACAGG